ensembl:lncRNA MCPH1-AS1 MCPH1 antisense RNA 1
GGCUGCGGACGCGGGAAGGGAGGUGGUGGCGACUGACGGAACUGGGUGAAGGCAGCAGUCUGUCAACAACUAUGGCAUCCAGCUGGUCAGAAAGACUAGAGGAUUUGACAUUUUGCGGCUGUUCUCUAGAACCAAAGAAAUGAGAACCUCUUGGUAAAAUCCGCUGGUCCAGGAGUUAUUAUCUCCUGGAUUAUCUGCCAAAGAAAUUAUCUGCCAAAAUUACAAUGUAAAACUGAAGAAGACAACCGAUAACUCAGUUAAAAUUUUGGAAAAAUACAAAGAAACUGUGACUGGGGAGAAAUGGAUUCUUUCUUUGAUUUUAUAAGCUGACAUGAUUGCUUGUUCUGUUGUGAAUGCACGCUGCUCUGGGCCUCAGUUAACCCAUCACACCUGAGCUCCACGCUGUCCACGGGUGCUUUUUCUGCAGUGUUAACGUCAUCUUCAUGGUCGGUAUCAUCACGAUCACCUUGAUUCAGAACCAUUCUGGCUAUUUCCCCAACAGUCAAUGAAAUGAACAACCGGAGCCUCAUUAUCAAUGUUAAAAAUGACAUUAAUGUGUACUUCUUCCCGCUGACUGAUGAACUCUGAAGGUAUAUUUUUUGGAGGUCAGACAUCCUUUUCUUCUCACUUGACAAGCUGAAUUCUUCUAAACCACCACCUGGUUCAUCAUCAUCACUGAACACAGUCGUAGGCCAGAGGUCACGCCAGGCACGCACAUCUGUGUCUUUAGUCACUGUGUUGCAAGCGUUGGCAACAGCAUGUAUGGCAUCCUUCAUGCUCAGCUCCUGAAAAUCUUCUACACCUACACCUCCGUUCACUGCUGCGAGCGUGCAAUUCAAGACAGUGUUUUUAUAUUUACUUUUCAUUGAUCUAAAGAUACCCUGGUUACAGGCUCAACUAAUGAAGUCACGUUUGGGGGAAAGUACACAGCAUCAAUAUUAUCUUUGAUGAGAAUUUCAGCUGGAGGAUGAGCAGAACAGUAGUCAAGGCAUAAGAAAAUCUUGCUGUCAUCAUCCGGUCCAACUUUUCUGCAGCGAGCACAAGAGGCCUGUACGAAGUGUUUGUAAAACCGAUCAGAAAAGAUGUCCCUGGUGAUCUAUGCCUUUUUGUUAGCAUAAUAAUGGACUGCUUCUGCAGAUGGCCUCCCCUCUCUGCGACUGGUUCCUUAUCGAGGCAAUGGAGAUGUGGACUGCGGUGACUGAUCAAGCCUCACAUAUCUACUGAAUCAGGAAGCCCGAAGGCCUGAGGCCUCCCGAGUGGCCCCAUGGGAGCGUCGUGCAUUUUUCUGGUCAGUCAGUCAUUAGGGGAAACGAUGAAUGAGCCAGGCCAGCAUGAGAAGGCCUGCAUGCUAUCGGAUCUUUUUCCUGAAAACAUCGACAUGGGACAUGUUCAAACCAAAUUUUCUUUAUAAGUUAUAAGAAAAUCAGGCGGAGGCUAAACUUUUUUUUUUUUUUGGCAAUGCUGUUGAGAAUAUUACAUUAUGUUCCCACAAUAGCAUAAAUGUAUGUCUUAUCACUUGAAUGGAGCCCAGACAAUAAAAGGGCGCCUGAGAGUGGAAAUACGCCUAUGAGAAAGGCCAAGCCAGCCUUUCGUGAUAACAGCAGCAGGGAGGGAAGAGUGCACAGAGCUGACCACAGCACAAAUGUCGCAGACCCUUGAGGACCGCGCCAGGGCUCAGAGCUCCACCCAAGGGCUUGUGAUCCUCACCCCAGCCAAGUUCCUUCAGACCCCAGGGUCUUCGUUUCGUGACUUAUAAAAUGGGAAUUAUAUGUCAUGGGAGUGUUGGGGGGAAAAUGCAACCAUUAGCAAAUGCUUUCAAAUAUAAUAUGUAUUAUCAAUAUCA